GCUUUAUAAAGAAGCGUGGAGAGACAGGCUCUAAGAAACGCUAGCAACCUCCUAAAAAAGAAAGGUGCUAAAUCCUGAUCCGCCAAGGCGGAAAAUAUAAACG
rnacentral:ncRNA from 2 species